GGAGUAUGGGCCGUGUCUCAGUCCCAUUGUGGCUGAUCAUCCUCUCAAACCAGCUACUGAUCGUCGCCUUGGUGGUCCAUUACACCGCCAACUAGCUAAUCAGAUGCAGACUCAUCCUAGAGCACCGGAGUUUUCACGAAUAGCAUCUCAGCUACGCGCAUAUGAGGUAUUAGCAGUCGUUUCCAACUGUUGUCCCUCUCUCUAGGGCAGAUUCUCUACAUUUUACUCACCCGUCCGCCACUUUCCUCUAACCGAAGCUAGAUUCUCGUUCGACUUGCAUGUAUGAAGCACGCCGCCAGCGUCGUCCUGAGCCACUGAUCAAACUACU
rnacentral:rRNA from 1 species